rnacentral:rRNA from 1 species
GAGGCUUAACACAUGCAAGUCGAGGGGCAGCAUGGUCUUUUCUUGCUAAGGCCGAUGGCGACCGGCGCACGGGUGAGUAACACGUAUCCAACCUGCCGUCUACUCUUGGACAGCCUUCUGAAAGGAAGAUUAAUACAAGAUGGCAUCAUGAGUCCACAUGUUCACAUGAUUAAAGGUAUUCCGGUAGACGAUGGGGAUGCGUUCCAUUAGAUAGUAGGCGGGGUAACGGCCCACCUAGUCUUCGAUGGAUAGGGGUUCUGAGAGGAAGGUCCCCCACAUUGGAACUGAGACACGGUCCAAACUCCUACGGGAGGCAGCAGUGAGGAAUAUUGGUCAAUGGGCGAGAGCCUGAACCAGCCAAGUAGCGUGAAGGAUGACUGCCCUAUGGGUUGUAAACUUCUUUUAUAAAGGAAUAAAGUCGGGUAUGCAUACCCGUUUGCAUGUACUUUAUGAAUAAGGAUCGGCUAACUCCGUGCCAGCAGCCGCGGUAAUACGGAGGAUCCGAGCGUUAUCCGGAUUUAUUGGGUUUAAAGGGAGCGUAGAUGGAUGUUUAAGUCAGUUGUGAAAGUUUGCGGCUCAACCGUAAAAUUGCAGUUGAUACUGGAUAUCUUGAGUGCAGUUGAGGCAGGCGGAAUUCGUGGUGUAGCGGUGAAAUGCUUAGAUAUCACGAAGAACUCCGAUUGCGAAGGCAGCCUGCUAAGCUGCAACUGACAUUGAGGCUCGAAAGUGUGGGUAUCAAACAGGAUUAGAUACCCUGGUAGUCCACACGGUAAACGAUGAAUACUCGCUGUUUGCGAUAUACAGCAAGCGGCCAAGCGAAAGCGUUAAGUAUUCCACCUGGGGAGUACGCCGGCAACGGUGAAACUCAAAGGAAUUGACGGGGGCCCGCACAAGCGGAGGAACAUGUGGUUUAAUUCGAUGAUACGCGAGGAACCUUACCCGGGCUUAAAUUGCAGAUGAAUUACGGUGAAAGCCGUAAGCCGCAAGGCAUCUGUGAAGGUGCUGCAUGGUUGUCGUCAGCUCGUGCCGUGAGGUGUCGGCUUAAGUGCCAUAACGAGCGCAACCCUUGUUGUCAGUUACUAACAGGUCAUGCUGAGGGCUCUGACAAGACUGCCAUCGUAAGAUGUGAGGAAGGUGGGGAUGACGUCAAAUCAGCACGGCCCUUACGUCCGGGGCUACACACGUGUUACAAUGGGGGGUACAGAGGGCCGCUACCACGCGAGUGGAUGCCAAUCCCAAAAACCUCUCUCAGUUCGGACUGGAGUCUGCAACCCGACUCCACGAAGCUGGAUUCGCUAGUAAUCGCGCAUCAGCCACGGCGCGGUGAAUACGUUCCCGGGCCUUGUACACACCGCCCGUCAAGCCAUGGGAGCCGGGGGUACCUGAAGUGCGUAACCGCGAGGAGCGCCCUAGGGUAAAACUGGUGACUGG